rnacentral:rRNA from 1 species
AGUGAUCAGAAGUGAGAAUGUUGACAUGAGUAGCGACAAACAGGGUGAGAGACCCUGUCGCCGAAAGUCCAAGGGUUCCUGCUUAAAGCUAAUCUGAGCAGGGUAAGCCGGCCCCUAAGGCGAGGCCGAAAGGCGUAGUCGAUGGGAACCAGGUUAAUAUUCCUGGGCCAGGAGAUGGUGACGGAUCGCAGAGGUAGUUCUUCCUUAUCGGAUUGGAAGGGCUGCUGAGUGGUUCCUGGAAAUAGCCCUCCAUGAGACCGUACCCUAAACCGACACAGGUGGACUGGUAGAGAAUACCAAGGCGCUUGAGAGAACCACAUUUAAGGAACUCGGCAAAAUACCUCCGUAAGUUCGCGAGAAGGAGGCCCCGUUUGUACGCCAGUAUGGGCGGGGGGCACAAACCAGGGGGUGGCGACUGUUUACUAAAAACACAGGGCUCUGCGAAGCCGUAAGGCGACGUAUAGGGUCUGACGCCUGCCCGGUGCCGGAAGGUUAAAAGGAGAUGUGCAAGCAUUGAAUUGAAGCCCCGGUAAACGGCGGCCGUAACAAUAACGGUCCUAAGGUAGCGAAAUUCCUUGUCGGGUAAGUUCCGACCUGCACGAAUGGCGUAACGACUUCCCCGCUGUCUCAAAUGUGGACUCAGCGAAAUUGAAUUGUCUGUGAAGAUGCAGACUUCCCGCGGUUAGACGGAAAGACCCCAUGCACCUUUACUAUAGCUUCGCACUGGCAUCAGGAUUGUGAUGUGCAGGAUAGGUGGUAGGCAUUGAAACCGGGGCGCCAGUUCCGGUGGAGCCAUCCUUGAGAUACCACCCUUCGCACUCUUGAUGCCUAACCGCGGCCCGUUAUCCGGGUCCGGGACCCUGCGUGGUGGGUAGUUUGACUGGGGCGGUCGCCUCCCAAAGAGUAACGGAGGCGCGCGAAGGUUGGCUCAGAGCGGUCGGAAAUCGCUCGUUGAGUGCAAUGGCAGAAGCCAGCCUGACUGCAAGACUGACAAGUCGAGCAGAGACGAAAGUCGGCCAUAGUGAUCCGGUGGUCCCGAGUGGAAGGGCCAUCGCUCAACGGAUAAAAGGUACGCUGGGGAUAACAGGCUGAUGAUGCCCAAGAGUCCAUAUCGACGGCAUCGUUUGGCACCUCGAUGUCGGCUCAUCUCAUCCUGGGGCUGGAGCAGGUCCCAAGGGUAUGGCUGUUCGCCAUUUAAAGAGGUACGUGAGCUGGGUUUAGAACGUCGUGAGACAGUUCGGUCCCUAUCUGCCGUGGGUGUAGGAUACUUGAGAGGAGUUGCCCCUAGUACGAGAGGACCGGGGUGAACGUUCCACUGGUGGACCAGUUGUCGUGCCAACGGCAGUGCUGGGUAGCUAUGAACGGACAGGAUAAACGCUGAAGGCAUCUAAGCGUGAAGCCCCCCUCAAAACAAGGUAUCCCUUGAGAGCCGUGGAAGACCACCACGUCGAUAGGCCGGAGAUGUAAGCGCAGCAAUGCGUUCAGUUGACCGGUACUAAUGGCU